CUGGAUCAGUAGUGAGUCUGAUCAUGGCUCAGAUUAAACGCUGGAGGGAUGUUUACACACGAAGUCGAACGGCAGCACGACUUUGGUCUGUGGCGAGUGGCGAACGGGUGAGUACGCAUCGUGGAACGUGCUCAGUAGUGGGGGAUAACUACGCGAAAGGUAGCUAUUACCGGCAUUGACUUUUCUGGGGAAAGCGGGGACCUUCGGGCCUCGCACUAUUAGAGCGGCCGAUAUCGAUUAGUUAGUUGCGGGGUAACGGCUCACCAAGGCGACGAUCCGUAGCUGGUUUGAGAGGACGACCAGCCACACUGGGACCGGAGACACGGCCCAGACUCUACGGAGGCAGCAGUGGGGAAUUUUUGACAAUGGGGAAACCCUGAUCCAGCCAUCCUGUGUGCGAUGGGUUGCCCCUGGGUUGUAAAGCACUUUUGGCAGGAAAGAAACGGCACGGAUAAUACCCCGUGCAACUGACGGUACCUGCAGAAUAAGGACCGGCUAACCAGACGCCAGCAGCCGCGGUAAUACGUAGGUGCAAGCGUUAAUCAGAAUAUUGGCGUAAAGCGUGUGCAGGCGGUUCGAAAGAAAAUAUGAAAUCCCAGAGCUUAACUUUUGGAACUUGUAUUUUUAACUACCGAGCUAGAGGUAAUGAGGGGAGGUGGAAUUCCAUGUAGCAGGAAUGCGUAGAUAUGCGGAGGAACACCGACGGCGAAGGCAGCCUCCCGGGGGAUAACACCGACGCUCACGUAUCAGCAAGCGUGGGGGAGCAAACAGGAUUAGAUACCCUGGUAGUCCACGCCCUAAACGAUGUCAACUAGCUGUUGGGGCCUUCUGGCCUUGCAGCGCAGCUAACGCGUGAAGUUGACCGCCAGGGGAGUAUGGUCGUGAUUAAAAUCAAAGUAACGACGGGGACCCGCACAAGCGGUGAUGAUGAUUAAUUCGAUGCAACGCGAAAAACCUUACCUACCUUGACAUGUCUGAAUCCUGAAGAGAUUUGGGGAGUGCUGCAAGAGAACCGAACACAGGUGCUGCAUGGCUGCUGUCAGCUGUGUCGUGAGAUGCUGGGUCAAGUCCCCAACGAGGCGUAACCCUUGUCAUUAGUUGCUGCUGAAAGGGCACUCGAAUGACUGCCGGUGACAAACCGGAGGAAGGUGGGGAUGACGUCAAGUCCUCAUGGCCCUUAUGGCAGGGUCACUUCACACGUCAUACAAUGGUCGUGGACAGAGGGUCGCCAACUCAUGAGGGGGAGCCAAUCCCAGAAACCCGAUCGUAGUCCGGAUCGCAGUCUGCAACUCGACUGCGUGAAGUCGAAUCGCUAGUAAUCGCGGAUCAGCAUGUCGCGGUGAAUACGUUCCCGGGUCUUGUACACACCGCCCGUCACGGCCAUGGAGUGGCUUUACUAGAAGGUAGUUAGCCUAACCGUAAGGAGGGCGAUUACUACGGUAGGAUUCAUGACUGGGGUGAAGUCGUAACAAGGCAG
rnacentral:rRNA from 1 species